ensembl:snRNA U1 U1 spliceosomal RNA
AUACCAACCUGGUAGGGGAGAUACUGUGGUCCAGAAGGUGAUUUUCCCAGGGUAAGGCUCAUCCAUUGCACUCUGGAUGUGUUGACUGCUGUACUUUCCCCAAAUGUGGGAAUCUUGACUGCAUAAUUUGUGGAAAUAGGGGACUGUGUUCUUGCUCUCCUAUG